GGUAGCGAAAUUCCUUGUCGGGUAAGUUCCGACCCGCACGAAAGGCGUAACGAUUUGGGCACUGUCUCAACGAGAGACUCGGUGAAAUCAUAGUACCUGUGAAGAUGCAGGUUACCCGCGACAGGACGGAAAGACCCCGUGGAGCUUUACUGUAGCCUGAUAUUGAAAUUCGGCACAGCUUGUACAGGAUAGGUAGGAGCCUUUGAAACGUGAGCGCUAGCUUACGUGGAGGCGCUGGUGGGAUACUACCCUAGCUGUGUUGGCUUUCUAACCCGCACCACUUAUCGUGGUGGGAGACAGUGUCAGGCGGGCAGUUUGACUGGGGCGGUCGCCUCCUAAAAGGUAACGGAGGCGCUCAAAGGUUCCCUCAGAAUGGUUGGAAAUCAUUCAUAGAGUGUAAAGGCAUAAGGGAGCUUGACUGCGAGACCUACAAGUCGAGCAGGGUCGAAAGACGGACUUAGUGAUCCGGUGGUUCCGCAUGGAAGGGCCAUCGCUCAACGGAUAAAAGCUACCCCGGGGAUAACAGGCUUAUCUCCCCCAAGAGUUCACAUCGACGGGGAGGUUUGGCACCUCGAUGUCGGCUCAUCGCAUCCUGGGGCUGUAGUCGGUCCCAAGGGUUGGGCUGUUCGCCCAUUAAAGCGGUACGCGAGCUGGGUUCAGAACGUCGUGAGACAGUUCGGUCCCUAUCCGUCGUGGGCGUAGGAAAUUUGAGAGGAGCUGUCCUUAGUACGAGAGGACCGGGAUGGACAUACCUCUGGUGUACCAGUUGUCGUGCCAACGGCAUAGCUGGGUAGCUAUGUGUGGACGGGAUAAGUGCUGAAAGCAUCUAAGCAUGAAGCCCCCCUCAAGAUGAGAUUUCCCAACUUCGGUUAUAAGAUCCCUCAAAGAUGAUGAGGUUAAUAGGUUCGAGGUGGAAGCAUGGUGAUAUGUGGAGCUGACGAAUACUAAUCGAUCGAAGACUUAAUCAA
rnacentral:rRNA from 1 species